GCGUCUGUAGCCUAGUUGGUAAAGGCAGCACUCUAGUAUGUGUCUCAGCAUAGCUGAGGUCGUGAGUUCAAAUCUCACCAGACACA
rnacentral:tRNA from 1 species